GUGGGCCACCAUGCAAUAAUCCCACCAAAAAGGCCGUCCAAUCAGCGUCUUAGAGAAUGGACGAUCCAUAUUGUUUAUAACAAAAUGGUCAUCAUCAAUCUGAAGCAUCCAUUGAGUGUGCCACCUUGGAUUAUCUAUUAUUCUCAAUCGAUGACGUGAUCGUAACCAUCCAAACCAUGGCUUUGAAAACGGAUGGUUAUAAAAAGAUGUGUGUUUGGAUGCGUAGGAUCAUACAAUUGGUUUAAUUUGUGUACAGCUGCCCAUGAAGGUAGGCUGUCCGGCAUGUACGGUCUAGAUCAAUUGAUUUGAGUGUCCGCGACCAAGUGCAGCCCAAAAUACUGUAACUAACACUUCUAGCACUGGGAGCAUUCCUCAUGUCUAAAAAGCGUAUUUAUUGGGAAUUUUUGGGCCUGUUUGGUAGAUGCCUCAAAAUGAUCUGUAAUACAUAAAUGAUGAUUAACUAAAAUGAAUUGAAUUUUCCCUAAAAAAAUAUUAAAGAAAAAAAAAAAAAGGAGAAAAAACUUAGUUUUAGGUCUCUACCAAAUUGGCCCAAUAGAGAUUGAAGUCAAUGAUCACAAUAUCUCUAAGCCUAUAAAUGCCAAAGGAAGAGCAUUUUCACCCUCUGGUGGCCAGGUCAAACGGUGUAAAUCCCAACUAAUGGUGGAUUUUUUAUUUUCAUAAAGGAUUUGAAUCCAAGAAAAUUCGUUCAUUUAGUUCAUCCAAAAUGUUCAGGCCCACCUAAAUAGAAACCUGAUAAAAGGGACUUUUUUUUUUUUAAUUUGCUUUG